GUCGAGAAUAAUUCACAAUGGACGAAAGUCUGAUGGUGCAACGCCGCGUGGAGGAUGACGGUCUUCGGAUUGUAAACUCCUGUCAUCCGGGAGUAAGACCUGGCUGUGAAUAGCAGACAGGGUUGAUAGUACCGGAAGAGGAAGGGACGGCUAACUUCGUGCCAGCAGCCGCGGUAAUACGAAGGUCCCGAGCGUUGUUCGGAAUCACUGGGCGUAAAGGGAGCGUAGGCGGCGUGGUAAGUCAGAUGUGAAAUCCCGGGGCUCAACCCCGGAACUGCAUCCGAUACUGCCGUGCUAGAGGAUUGGAGAGGUAGCUGGAAUUCUUGGUGUAGCUGUGAAAUGCGUGGAGAUCAAGAGGAACACUCGUGGCGAAAGCGAGCUACUGGACAAUAUCUGACGCUGAGGCUCGAAGGCCAGGGUAGCGAAAGGGAUUAGAAACCCCAGUAGUCC
rnacentral:rRNA from 1 species